rnacentral:rRNA from 1 species
GACGAACGCUGGCGGCGUGCUUAACACAUGCAAGUCGAACGGAAAGGCACUGCUUUUGUGGGGUGAUCGAGUGGCGAACGGGUGCGUAACACGUGAGUAACCUGCCCUAGACUUUGGGAUAACUUCAGGUAACUGGGGCUAAUAUCGGAUAGGAGAUCAUGCUGCAUGGUGGGGGUUGGAAAGUUUCGGCGGUUGGGGAUGGACUCGCGGCUUAUCAGCUUGCUGGUGGGGUAGUGGCUUACCAAGGAUUUGACUGGUCGCCGGCCUGGGAGGGUGACCGGCCACAAUGGGACUGAGAUACGGCCCAGACUCCAACGGUAGGCAGCAGUGGGGAGUAUUACACAGUGAGCGGAAGCCUGAUGCAGCGGCGCCGCGUGCGUAAUGACGUCCUUCGGGUUGUAAACCGCUUUCGCCUGUGACGAAGCUGUAGUGACGGUAAUGGAUAAAUAAGCACCGGCUAACUACGUG